rnacentral:rRNA from 1 species
UGGGGAAUAUUGGACAAUGGGCGAAAGCCUGAUCCAGCAAUGCCGCGUGAGUGAUGAAGGCCUUAGGGUUGUAAAGCUCUUCUACCCGGGAUGAUAAUGACAGUACCGGGAGAAUAAGCCCCGGCUAACUCCGUGCCAGCAGCCGCGGUAAUACGGAGGGGGCUAGCGUUGUUCGGAAUUACUGGGCGUAAAGCGCGCGUAGGCGGCUUUGUAAGUCAGAGGUGAAAGCCUGGAGCUCAACUCCAGAACUGCCUUUGAGACUGCAUCGCUUGAAUCAUGGAGAGGUUAGUGGAAUUCCGAGUGUAGGGGUGAAAUUCGUAGAUAUUCGGAAGAACACCAGUGGCGAAGGCGGCUCACUGGCUCGACACUGACGCUGAGGUGCGAAAGCGUGGGGAGCAAA